rnacentral:rRNA from 1 species
CGCUGGCGGCAGGCCUAACACAUGCAAGUCGAGCGGUAGCACAGAGAGCUUGCUCUCGGGUGACGAGCGGCGGACGGGUGAGUAAUGUCUGGGAAACUGCCUGAUGGAGGGGGAUAACUACUGGAAACGGUAGCUAAUACCGCAUAANGUCGCAAGACCAAAGUGGGGGACCUUCGGGCCUCAUGCCAUCAGAUGUGCCCAGAUGGGAUUAGCUAGUAGGUGGGGUAACGGCUCACCUAGGCGACGAUCCCUAGCUGGUCUGAGAGGAUGACCAGCCACACUGGAACUGAGACACGGUCCAGACUCCUACGGGAGGCAGCAGUGGGGAAUAUUGCACAAUGGGCGCAAGCCUGAUGCAGCCAUGCCGCGUGUGUGAAGAAGNCCUUCGGGUUGUAAAGCACUUUCAGCGGGGAGGAAGGCG